UCGAGAAUUUUUCACAAUGGGGGAAACCCUGAUGGAGCGACGCCGCGUGGGGGAUGAAGGGCUUCGGCUCGUAAACCCCUGUCAGCCGCGAACAAAGCUUACGACCUAACACGUCGUGAGUUGAUUGUAGUGGCAGAGGAAGGGACGGCUAACUCUGUGCCAGCAGCCGCGGUAAUACAGAGGUCCCGAGCGUUGUUCGGAUUUACUGGGCGUAAAGGGUGCGUAGGUGGUCGGGUAAGUCUCAUGUGAAAUCCCGCAGCUUAACUGCGGAACGGCAUGGGAUACUAUUCGGCUAGAGGAUUGGAGGGGGGACUGGAAUUCCCGGUGUAGCAGUGAAAUGCGUAGAUAUCGGGAGGAACACCAGUGGCGAAGGCGAGUCCCUGGACAAUUCCUGACGCUGAGGCACGAAAGCCAGGGGAGCAAACAG
rnacentral:rRNA from 1 species